rnacentral:rRNA from 1 species
GACGAACGCUGGCGGCGUGCUUAACACAUGCAAGUCGAACGGUAAGGCUCCAGCUUGCUGGGGUACACGAGUGGCGAACGGGUGAGUAACACGUGGGUGACCUGCCCUGCACUUCGGGAUAAGCCUGGGAAACUGGGUCUAAUACCGGAUAGGACCGCACCGUGAGGGUGUGGUGGAAAGUUUUUUCGGUGUGGGAUGGGCCCGCGGCCUAUCAGCUUGUUGGUGGGGUAAUGGCCUACCAAGGCGGCGACGAGUAGCCGGCCUGAGAGGGUGGACGGCCACAUUGGGACUGAGACACGGCCCAGACUCCUACGGGAGGCAGCAGUGGGGAAUAUUGCACAAUGGGCGGAAGCCUGAUGCAGCGACGCCGCGUGGGGGAUGACGGCCUUCGGGUUGUAAACUCCUUUCACCAUCGACGAAGGGUUUCUGACGGUAGAUGGAGAAGAAGCACCGGCUAACUACGUG